rnacentral:tRNA from 2 species
AGAGAAAAUAAUAAAAUUGCUGCUAACAAUUUUUUGUCGGUUCAAUUCGACUUUCUCUU